rnacentral:misc_RNA from 1 species
AAGUCGUAACAAGGUUUCCGUAGGUGAACCUGCGGAAGGAUCAUUACCUUUCAAUGCAGAAGAGUUGAGAUGGUUGAGUAUCUCGCCCCUCAAUUCUCGCUGUAUUUUACCCUUGUUUUUCUCAUACUAUUAUUUCCUCGGCAGGCUCGCCUGCCGGGUGAAACAACUUCAAACCUGUUUAAUUUUCAAUCAGCGUCUGAACAAAUUAAUAAUUACAACUUUCAACAACGGAUCUCUUGGUUCUG